rnacentral:snRNA from 1 species
AGUUUUGUGCAGUAGCAGUAUCAUAGCUAAUGAGGUUUAUACAACACAUGAUUUUUGCUUUUUAAAAACUUCUCCUAAAAG